rnacentral:rRNA from 1 species
CGUGGGUGGAGUGAGUGGCGAACGGGUGAGUAACACGUGAGUACCUCGCCCCUUCUUGGAUAACGCCCGGAAACGGGUGCUAAUACUGGAUAUUCACUUGCCUUCGCAGUGGGGGUUGUGGAAAGGGUUUUUCUGGUGGGGGAUGGGCUCGCGGCCUAUCAGCUUGUUGGUGGGGUGAUGGCCUACCAAGGCUUUGACGGGUAGCCGGCCUGAGAGGGUGACCGGUCACAUUGGGACUGAGAUACGGCCCAG